AUGACUCUGAUCUACGUCCUCAUCUGGACUCUCCUCUGCUGCUGCUUCACAGAGUCCAGAGGACAGGUCACAGUGACUCAGCCUGCAGCAGUGAGCUCUGCUCUGGGAGGCUCCGUCACAAUCUCAUGUACGACCAGUCAGGAUGUUCAUACUGGAGGUGUUUCUGACUAUUUAGCCUGGUACCAACGCAAAGAUGGAGAAACUCCUAAACCGCUCAUUGAUCGUGCUACCAUUCUAGCAUCAGGGAUUCCAGAUCGUUUUACAGGCAGUGGAUCAUACUCAAACUUCACUCUGACCAUCAGUGGAGUCCAGACUGAAGAUGCUGCAGUUUACUACUGUCAGAGUUUGCACUAUAUCAACAGUCAGUAUCUGUACACACAGUGA